rnacentral:rRNA from 1 species
CAGAGGUCCCAAGCGUUGUUCGGAUUCACUGGGCGUAAAGGGUGCGUAGGUGGUGAGGUAAGUCGGAUGUGAAAGCUCGGAGCUCAACUCCGAAAUGGCAUUGGAAACUACCUUGCUCGAGGGUUGGAGGGGGGACUGGAAUGCUUGGUGUAGCAGUGAAAUGCGUAGAUAUCAAGCGGAACACCAGUGGCGAAGGCGAGUCCCUGGACAACUCCUGACACUGAGGCACGAAAGCUAGGGGAGCAAACAGGAUUAGAUACCCUGGUAGUCCUAGCCGUAAACGGUGCACGUUUGCUGUAAAAGGAAUCGACCCCUUUUGUGGCGUAGCCAACGCGUUAAACGUGCCGCCUGGGAAGUACGGUCGCAAGAUUA